rnacentral:lncRNA from 1 species
CCAGCAGCUCAUGAGGCUGAAGCAGGAGGAUCAUGAGUUCAAAGCCAGCCUCAGCAAAAGCAAGGUGCUAAGCAACUCAGUGAAACCCUGCCUCUAAAUAAAAUACAAAAUAGGGCUGCGGUUGUGGCUCAAUCCCUGGUACCUGCCUUCAAUUUAAUUUUUAAACUCUCAUUUAUCAUUUAUCAUAUCCUAGUGAGAAAUGAUGAUUUUUUAGGUGAAAUGUGUCACUGAAGCCAUCAAGACAUUACUUCCUCAGCUUUCCCUUCUCCUCUUGCUGUUGCUACACCUGCUCUGCCCCUGUCUUGAGCCUGCUCAGCCACUGCGGUGCUCAUGCCCCACAACUUUUCCCUGUGGGAAAAACGGUGUCCUCCCACCUGCUACAAUAUUCAUGUUAAAGUCCUAGCUCUCAGUACCUCAGAAUGAGACUUUGUUUGGAGAUGCAGUCUUCAAAGAGAUCAUUAAGGUGAAAUUAAGUCAUGAAGAUCGACCUAAUUCCAUAGGAAUAGUGUCUUCAUAAGAAGAGGAGAUUAGGACACAGACACACACAUUCAGAAGGCCAUCUGAGAGCCCAGACAGAAGACGGCCAUUUCUGUUGUUUAGGCCUCUUGGUUGGUGGUACUUUGUUAUAGCACCUCUGGCAAAUGAAUCCAUCCUUAGGGCCCUUCCUCUUUUUCAAGAGCAUUCAAACUAGUGCUCCAUCUUCAAGUCAAGUCUCUUCAAAUCCUGCCCUUAAUGGCCACGACUAAAUCUUCUCUUCUCUGUGAUGCAGGACUUAGGUCUAGAAUCAUGAAAACCAGAUCCUAUUCCCAAUUCUGCUGCUGAUCAUUUUCCUUUGGAUAAUAAUCAUCCUUCCAAGCCUUAGUUUUCUCAUUUCUAAAAUUAGGAUGAUAAAACCCCCCUCACAAUAUGAGACAGUAUGCAUGAAACUCAGUUUCUGGUUCAUUGUUGACAUGCUUAUUGAGUGUAUUUUUCUUGAAUUGCAACAUGCUUCGUGUUAUGUUAUCUUAAUUGUCUAUGUUUUCUCUUUUUCUUCUAGAUUGCAAGAUACUAGAUUACAUGGUUGUGUUUAUGCG